rnacentral:lncRNA from 1 species
UGCUGACCCACAAGUGAGUCACUGAGAGCCUCAUUGCUUUGAUUAUUCACAGGAACCCCAUCAGUUCGAGAGUUAUUUAUUUAAGGAGCAGAGAUUUAUUCAAUCUACAAUAAGUAUUCUCAAAGACCUUGCUUCCUGGGACUCUCAGAUUCCCCUUAGUCCUUUAAAGGAAUCUGAAGACCUCAUCUUACAGAUGACAAAGAUCAGUUAACCUAUCGAAGACUCCAUUGUUGUGGAUAAAGUCCCAACUUUGUCUUAGAGUCCUUUGGUUGCUUUUGUAGAUGUCUAUUCUACAUAAUAAACAUGUAUUAAAUAUCUGUUCAUGGCCACCUCCUGGAUUUGGGGAUGGAUAUUUAUAAACAUUGAAUACAGCCGCCUGGAAGGACCUUAAUGAUUGAGACCUUGUCCCCUUGAUCUGUAAUAUCUAUCAUUGGCUUAUAGAAGAAGUAAUGAAAGGAAAUGGAACCAUUAUUGAUUUCUGCAAUAAAGAACUAUCAGAGACACACAGAUUUCAUCCCAAGGUGCCCAGUGCCCUUACUCUGACAGCCAGUCACUUGAUGGAGGACAUCUUGGUAGUAAGAUUUUUAAAAUUAGGGACUGUGUUUGUGGAAGGGGGCUUUACUGGCAUGUGUGAGGCCCUGGGUUCAAUCCCCAGUGCUAUAAUGUAAAAUAUAAAGUUAAAUAAAUAAAAGUAUUAUCUCAUGUCAUAUUCAUAUUUUAUACACAUAUAUAAUAUACAAAUGCUAAGUUUGUAGAAAGGCAACUGAAAUUUGAGUUAAAAGCCAGCAAAGAAUGAAAGCUAACUUUGGACAAAUUGUACAUUGUGUUCACACACACACACACACACACACACACACACACACACACACACACACACACAAAUAGAUUCCCAGCAGAAAGAAUGAGAUGAUAGAGGUGGAUGCCAGCAUUAAGUCACGGCUAAAAAAAUAAAUAAAGAUUGAUGGAGAGAUGCUGGCUGUUUUUUUCUGGAAUGCUAAAACUGGCUAUUGAAAAACUGUAAUUUUGAACAUGAUUAGCUAAUUCUCCCUCUUAAUGAGUUUAAAGCUAUGACUAAAAGUAGGAUGUAGGAUACUCAUUUUCAUUAAGCUCCCUUCUAGAGCUCUGAAUGGCAACUAGGUGGGUUGUAAUAAUCUUUCUUCCCUCUCCCUUAUCUGGCUGGAGUGUCUAACUCCGGAUUUGGAAACUCCUAGACAUUACUGUGAAAUGUAUCAUAGGCCAUGACUCACUACGAAAAGGACAAGUGUGUAAAUUGCCUUACCAGAGAAAAAUCUUCUGCCAAUCGCUCCCUUUCUUCCUGUGACAAGACUUCAUUUCUUUCUCUCUGAUUCAUACCCUGAGGAAAUCAACAUGACACAAAAUGGCUGCUGUGUUCAAUUAAGAAAAAAAUGUCUCCAACACACACUUAGAGCACAUAAGCAUUUUAAAAUCCAGAGAAUUUGUUAUCUUCCCAAGAAGCUUUCCUCCCAAAGGCCUUGGUGCCAUGUAAGAGAACAGAAUGCCACUCAUUGACUAGUGCUCUCUAUGAAAUCCCUUUGGCCCACAGACCUGCACCUACAUGGGGAAUCUGCCUCACUACAGUUCUAAAGGUGGAAGGCAGCAGGAGGAAGAGCAACAAUUAAUCUGGGCCCACUGCCAUCAAACUUCUAAAGUUAUAGUUUGCAUUAAUUGGGUACUUAUCAGAAUUCAGGUUCCACUUUAUGUUUUCCACAUAUUAUUUCAGUGAAUCUAAAUAACUCUAUGAAAUAAAUUACUUUGUGGACUCUCACCACAGUUAAGGGGAAAGAGACACGGGGUGGUGAAUGAAUUUUCUCAAAAUGAUGUAUGAAGUAAGACACGCAUUGGGAUUCAAGCCUCCAGCUGUUGAAUACCAAAAUGCCAAUUUUCUGAUUCCUCAGUUAGUCCUUGGGAAGGUUGAAGCACUGGUGUCUCCAUAAUGCACAUAAGAAAGAGAAAGGAAGUGAUCUAUGAACAAGAACAUAGGGAUCACUGACAUGUUUGAUCUGAAAUCUGAACUCAGUUGAGACAGGGUUCCCCAGAGUUCAUAUUCUGGCCAUGGAUAUAAAACUCAAAUAAGUCCAUCUCCCCAUACACUCGCUUCAUGUCAAUCAUUCCCAGACCAACUCAGAUAAACAAAUGUGUACUCUUCACACUGCGUGCUUUCAAAGUCUCAUGACGCAACAAGAGCUACAUAUGUAUAUAGAGAUCAACACAGAGGCCUGCAACUGGUCAACAAACAGAGAAUACAAGACUGGGAUAUGGAAUAGUGAGCUCUAAGCAAGACAUCCACAUUGUACAUGCUCCUCUGAAGGCUUGGGGAUCAUUGUGGAAGAGAG